rnacentral:lncRNA from 12 species
UCAGUGCCGUGGGUCCUGUCACUAGUGGCCUGGCACCUGCUUAACCUCCCCUGGCACAGCUUCAUGUCAGUGCCCUGGGUCCUGUCACUAGGGCCACAGAGAGAACAUCAGUGACUGUCACCUCCCCUGUGAGGAGGCUGGAGAGCACUCUGAGCCCUCCCCUCACUCAGUGCUUCCACAGGCCCCUUGCUGUACUCCACUGAGGCCUGAGAAGAGCACAGCUGUUUCCACUGAUUGGCACGGAAUAGGUGACAUGCAGGGCACCUGAGAGCAGGCUUGUGCUCCUCCCCUUUAUAAGGAUGCCAGGACGCUGCCCUCUGGGCUGUCUGUCUCAUGGUCUAAGGCUUGGAAAUGGGGGCACCUGAGAGCAGGCUUGUGCUCCUCCCCUUUAUAAGGAUGCCAGGACACUGCCCUCUGGGCUUUCUGUCUGAUCGUCUAAGGCUUGGAAAGGCAGGGAGUUCUUAUCUGUGGUGCCACCCAGAGCCUCUGUACACAUCUGAGUGUUCUUCAAAGUGUGGAAACACCAGGCAAAGGCACUAUGAGCUGAUAGAUCCCUGGUGGCAUCAGUGGCCAGACAAGUCCAGGGAAUAUACAGUCAAGAGCUGUAGUAAUGGGUGGUGAGAGUAUGUUCUUGAUCACGUAGAAGAAGUGUUAAUGGAGGCUGCUGUGACUGAGCUCUCCAUGGCCAUCUCCCAUCUCGUCCAUGCCUACAGCAGCAGCUUUGAUGCAUCUUUCCUGGUUCCCAGCAUACCUAAGAGCCCUUUGUGUGCAGACAUCAGCCUAAAUUCCCAGCUGAGCUUCACUGUUUGUGCUGCCCAGGAGCCUGGGUGACAGGUAGGAG